rnacentral:lncRNA from 1 species
UCGAAAAGCGUUAGUGAAAAAAAUUAUCUAACGAAUACCAUAUAUCAAAGCCAACUAUAUAACAUUUACGCUUACCAUACAUUUGAUGGCUUCGUCUCUACCUCUUUCUUGUCAAUGAUGUCUAUAAAGUGGUACCACUAGAGUAGACAGGUGGACUCAAUGAUGGCGAAUGGUCAUGGAGGUGGUGCACAGUCAUUCACUCAACUUCAAUAACGACGUAAACUCAUCCGAUUACAUACCGCUC